rnacentral:ncRNA from 2 species
GUACAUAUAUAUCUCCGAUCCGAUUAACCUACAGGACGCCCGUCCCAGGGUUGUCGGACGCCAGGUCCCGAUGGAAACGUCUGUGCCUCCCGUAUUUGGAAAGGAGAAAAUACAGGGAGGUA